GCCACUGUGGCCAAGUUGGUAAGGCACUGGAUUUGUAAUCCAGAGAUCGGGGGUUCAAAUCCCUCCGGUGGCUCCA
rnacentral:tRNA from 1 species